rnacentral:rRNA from 1 species
AUGGCUAGGGUUUCGGGCAGAGCUUUGCCGGCAAGCCUCCACCCCCUCUCGCUGCCUUCUCCCACCACGUCGGCCUCCUUCCCUAGCUACCCUCCUGCCGUGGAGCACCCUCGCACUGGCCACUCCCUUCUCCCCCCUCCCGGCUCCUUCCAUUGCCAAACUGGAGCACCAGCCGCUCCUCCUCCACCUCCUCGAUUUGGUGCAUCAACACCACGAGCUAACCCACCAGCGAUGGUCUACUCCAGUGUGGGUCGGCGUGGGCUUACCCAAUCUAGGGCAGACGCGUCGGUGACGGCAUGGAGAGAGGAGGAGGAAGGUGAGAAAGGAUGCCAAGGCAACAGUGAGAUCCACGUGAGCCACCAUGGCCACGACCAGAUCCACAACAAGGUUAAAUGGGGCCGGCUGCACCCUACAGGAAAACGAAGCUCUCCAAGGGUUCAUGUCGAAGCUCUACACAGUCAUGAGGCAAAUUUGGACCUUGAAGAAAAGGAUUGUGGUUGGAGAGAAUAUGUAAGGCUAAUGUUUGAGCAGUGGGAGAGUGAAAAGAGGCGAGAGUGA